CUCCUCCAUUUUUCUUUAAUUUCUCUCUUUCUCUCACUACUAAGCCAUAUCUUUUCUCUCCAUGGUUGAUUCAUUCCUACGAUCUGUGGUUGAAGUUGAUGGAUGCUACAAUGAGAGAUUAUGAAUGGACUAUUCAAAGUUACUGCAUUGAAUUGAUAGGGUUCCCUGGCAAUAGGUUGAUAAGACUUCUUACUGGACUAUUAAAAACUCUGGGCCAAAAAAACAAUGUCAAUCAACUUGGGAACUCUACGCAAUUAAAAUGACCGUUGAUCAAACACAUGUAAAACUAUAAAAGCCAAAUUAAGAAAUCAUGAAAAUUAGGGUGCGGAAAAAGACAUAAAUAUGAAGCUGAAGAUGUAAAUGGCAAAAAGUUAUCUGCUUCCAUAUUACAAUUGAUGUUACUUUUGGUACAAUUAUCUGAUGUUGUGUUCGUCCUUUUGGUUUCACUUAUAAAUAAGAGUAAUAAUAUAAGUUGCUUGUGGUACAACUUUCUUAUGCUAUGUUAGUCCUCUCCAACUCUCCCUUCUAAAUAAGGGAUAUAUUAUUUAAUUGUACUAAUAGAAGAUGUUGAAUAAGAUGAUAAUAUCAGUUUUGUUAUUACUAGGA